GGGUUGUGAGGUUAAGCGACUAAGCGUACACGGUGGAUGCCCUGGCAGUCAGAGGCGAUGAAGGACGUGCUAAUCUGCGAUAAGCGUCGGUAAGGUGAUAUGAACCGUUAUAACCGGCGAUUUCCGAAUGGGGAAACCCAGUGUGAUUCGUCACACUAUCAUUAACUGAAUCCAUAGGUUAAUGAGGCGAACCGGGGGAACUGAAACAUCUAAGUACCCCGAGGAAAAGAAAUCAACCGAGAUUCCCCCAGUAGCGGCGAGCGAACGGGGAGCAGCCCAGAGCCUGAAUCAGUGUGUGUGUUAGUGGAAGCGUCUGGAAAGGCGCGCGAUACAGGGUGACAGCCCCGUACACAAAAAUGCACAUGCUGUGAGCUCGAUGAGUAGGGCGGGACACGUGGUAUCCUGUCUGAAUAUGGGGGGACCAUCCUCCAAGGCUAAAUACUCCUGACUGACCGAUAGUGAACCAGUACCGUGAGGGAAAGGCGAAAAGAACCCCGGCGAGGGGAGUGAAAAAGAACCUGAAACCGUGUACGUACAAGCAGUGGGAGCACGCUUAGGCGUGUGACUGCGUACCUUUUGUAUAAUGGGUCAGCGACUUAUAUUCUGUAGCAAGGUUAACCGAAUAGGGGAGCCGAAGGGAAACCGAGUCUUAACUGGGCGUUAAGUUGCAGGGUAUAGACCCGAAACCCGGUGAUCUAGCCAUGGGCAGGUUGAAGGUUGGGUAACACUAACUGGAGGACCGAACCGACUAAUGUUGAAAAAUUAGCGGAUGACUUGUGGCUGGGGGUGAAAGGCCAAUCAAACCGGGAGAUAGCUGGUUCUCCCCGAAAGCUAUUUAGGUAGCGCCUCGUGAAUUCAUCUCCGGGGGUAGAGCACUGUUUCGGCAAGGGGGUCAUCCCGACUUACCAACCCGAUGCAAACUACGAAUACCGGAGAAUGUUAUCACGGGAGACACACGGCGGGUGCUAACGUCCGUCGUGAAGAGGGAAACAACCCAGACCGCCAGCUAAGGUCCCAAAGUCAUGGUUAAGUGGGAAACGAUGUGGGAAGGCCCAGACAGCCAGGAUGUUGGCUUAGAAGCAGCCAUCAUUUAAAGAAAGCGUAAUAGCUCACUGGUCGAGUCGGCCUGCGCGGAAGAUGUAACGGGGCUAAACCAUGCACCGAAGCUGCGGCAGCGACGCUGAUGCGUUGUUGGGUAGGGGAGCGUUCUGUAAGCCUGCGAAGGUGUGCUGUGAGGCAUGCUGGAGGUAUCAGAAGUGCGAAUGCUGACAUAAGUAACGAUAAAGCGGGUGAAAAGCCCGCUCGCCGGAAGACCAAGGGUUCCUGUCCAACGUUAAUCGGGGCAGGGUGAGUCGACCCCUAAGGCGAGGCCGAAAGGCGUAGUCGAUGGGAAACAGGUUAAUAUUCCUGUACUUGGUGUUACUGCGAAGGGGGGACGGAGAAGGCUAUGUUGGCCGGGCGACGGUUGUCCCGGUUUAAGCGUGUAGGCUGGUUUUCCAGGCAAAUCCGGAAAAUCAAGGCUGAGGCGUGAUGACGAGGCACUACGGUGCUGAAGCAACAAAUGCCCUGCUUCCAGGAAAAGCCUCUAAGCAUCAGGUAACAUCAAAUCGUACCCCAAACCGACACAGGUGGUCAGGUAGAGAAUACCAAGGCGCUUGAGAGAACUCGGGUGAAGGAACUAGGCAAAAUGGUGCCGUAACUUCGGGAGAAGGCACGCUGAUAUGUAGGUGAAGUCCCUCGCGGAUGGAGCUGAAAUCAGUCGAAGAUACCAGCUGGCUGCAACUGUUUAUUAAAAACACAGCACUGUGCAAACACGAAAGUGGACGUAUACGGUGUGACGCCUGCCCGGUGCCGGAAGGUUAAUUGAUGGGGUCAGCGCAAGCGAAGCUCUUGAUCGAAGCCCCGGUAAACGGCGGCCGUAACUAUAACGGUCCUAAGGUAGCGAAAUUCCUUGUCGGGUAAGUUCCGACCUGCACGAAUGGCGUAAUGAUGGCCAGGCUGUCUCCACCCGAGACUCAGUGAAAUUGAACUCGCUGUGAAGAUGCAGUGUACCCGCGGCAAGACGGAAAGACCCCGUGAACCUUUACUAUAGCUUGACACUGAACAUUGAGCCUUGAUGUGUAGGAUAGGUGGGAGGCUUUGAAGUGUGGACGCCAGUCUGCAUGGAGCCGACCUUGAAAUACCACCCUUUAAUGUUUGAUGUUCUAACGUGGACCCGUAAUCCGGGUUGCGGACAGUGUCUGGUGGGUAGUUUGACUGGGGCGGUCUCCUCCUAAAGAGUAACGGAGGAGCACGAAGGUUGGCUAAUCCUGGUCGGACAUCAGGAGGUUAGUGCAAUGGCAUAAGCCAGCUUGACUGCGAGCGUGACGGCGCGAGCAGGUGCGAAAGCAGGUCAUAGUGAUCCGGUGGUUCUGAAUGGAAGGGCCAUCGCUCAACGGAUAAAAGGUACUCCGGGGAUAACAGGCUGAUACCGCCCAAGAGUUCAUAUCGACGGCGGUGUUUGGCACCUCGAUGUCGGCUCAUCACAUCCUGGGGCUGAAGUAGGUCCCAAGGGUAUGGCUGUUCGCCAUUUAAAGUGGUACGCGAGCUGGGUUUAGAACGUCGUGAGACAGUUCGGUCCCUAUCUGCCGUGGGCGCUGGAGAAUUGAGGGGGGCUGCUCCUAGUACGAGAGGACCGGAGUGGACGCAUCACUGGUGUUCGGGUUGUCAUGCCAAUGGCACUGCCCGGUAGCUAAAUGCGGAAGAGAUAAGUGCUGAAAGCAUCUAAGCACGAAACUUGCCCCGAGAUGAGUUCUCCCUGACUCCUUGAGAGUCCUGAAGGAACGUUGAAGACGACGACGUUGAUAGGCCGGGUGUGUAAGCGCAGCGAUGCGUUGAGCUAACCGGUACUAAUGAACCGUGAGGCUUAACCUUACAACGCCGAAG
rnacentral:rRNA from 2 species